CUGGGAAAACGGUGGUAAUGCCGGAUGCUCCAUCACACCGCAUGGUGUGUUGGGAAAGCCUUUGCGGCAUGGGAUGGGGUCGCGUCCUAUCAGCUUGAUGGCGGGGUAACGGCCCACCAUGGCUUCGACGGGUAGCCGGCCUGAGAGGGCGACCGGCCACAUUGGGACUGAGAUACGGCCCAGACUCCUACGGGAGGCAGCAGUGGGGAAUAUUGCACAAUGGGCGCAAGCCUGAUGCAGCGACGCCGCGUGAGGGAUGGAGGCCUUCGGGUUGUAAACCUCUUUUGUUAGGGAGCAAGGCAUUUUGUGUUGAGUGUACCUUUCGAAUAAGCACCGGCUAACUACGUGCCAGCAGCCGCGGUAAUACGUAGGGUGCAAGCGUUAUCCGGAAUUAUUGGGCGUAAAGGGCUCGUAGGCGGUUCGUCGCGUCCGGUGUGAAAGUCCAUCGCUUAACGGUGGAUCCGCGCCGGGUACGGGCGGGCUUGAGUGCGGUAGGGGAGACUGGAAUUCCCGGUGUAACGGUGGAAUGUGUAGAUAUCGGAAAGA
rnacentral:rRNA from 1 species